GAGCUUGACAUCCCACGAACCUGUGGAAACACGGGAGUGCCUUCGGGAGCGGAGAGACAGGUGGUGCAUGGUUGUCGUCAGCUCGUGUCGUGAGAUGUUGGGUUAAGUCCCGCAACGAGCGCAACCCUUAUGAUCAGUUACCAGCGGGUGAAGCCGGGGACUCUGGUCAGACUGCCGGUGACAAACCGGAGGAAGGUGGGGAUGACGUCAAGUCAGCAUGGCCUUGAUGUCUGGGGCCACACACGUGCUACAAUGGCCGGUACAAACCGUGGCGAGCCCGCGAGGGGGAGCUAAUCGGAAAAAGCCGGUCUCAGUUCGGAUCGCAGGCUGCAACUCGCCUGCGUGAAGGUGGAAUCGCUAGUAAUCGCAGAUCAGCACGCUGCGGUGAAUACGUUCCCGGGCCUUGUACACACCGCCCGUCACAUCACGAAAGCUGGCUGUACUCGAAGUCGCUGAG
rnacentral:rRNA from 1 species